GGAAACCUGGAAACUACUGUUAGAUCGAAAAAUGAAUGUCUGAGAUUCAUUCACGUCUCUAUGAGUAAAAUUUUUACUCAUGAGUAAAUCUGCGAGUAAAAUUUUUAUUCAUGGUUAUGUAGAUGAAUGUCGAAAGUUUAUUUUUUAUCCAACGAUAGUUUCCAAGUUUCC
rnacentral:pre_miRNA from 1 species